rnacentral:rRNA from 1 species
AGAGUUAAACAGUGCGUGAAAUUGUUGAAAGGGAAACGUUUGACACCAGUCAUGCGGGCGGAAAAUCAGUCUUUUGUAGUGGGGAAGCGCGUGGGUUCAGACCGCAAGGCUGGCCUAUGUGUUCUCUCUGCUGCGAGUGAUGCACUUUUUCGUCUGCUGGCCAACAUCAAUUCAGUUGGCUGGAAAAAGGUGUAGGGAAUGUAGGUCUCACUUGUGAGACUGUUAUAGCCCUGCGCUCAUACAGCCUUCUGGAUUGAGGAACGCAGUGUCGUUUCCGACGCGCUUGCUGCGAGGCAGACACUUUCAGACAGCUUGCUGACUGAAAGUGAGCUAGCCAAGCACUCAAGUGCGAAGGUUUGACACUAAGGAUGUUGGUGAAAAGGUUUUAAACGACCCGUCUUGAAACACG